AAAUGAUGAUAUUCCAGCUGGCACCAGUCAUAGGGCGACUUGUACUCCCUCCAUUGAUGACAAACGCUGCGGUCUUUCGACCAAUCUCUGAU
rnacentral:snoRNA from 1 species